GACGAACGCUGGCGGCGUGCUUAACACAUGCAAGUCGAACGGAGUGGCGAACGGGUGAGUAUUACGUGAGUAACCUGCCCUCAACGGUGGGAUAAGCCUGGGAAACUGGGUCUAAUACUGCAUAGUUGGGGAUGGGCUCGCGGCCUAUCAGCUUGUUGGUGGGGUGUGGGCCUACCAAGGCGGUGACGGGUAGCCGGCCUGGGAGGGUGGUCGGUCACAGUGGGCCGGAGAUACGGCCCAGACACCGACGGGUGGCAGACGUGGGGGAUUUUGCACAAUGGGUGCAAGCCUGAUGCAGCGACACCGCGUGAGGGUUUAAGGCUUUCGGGUUGUAUACCUAUUUCGGUACAGAAAGGGUAGGUGGCGAAGAAGAGCCGGCUAACUACGUGCCAGCAGCCGCGGUAAUAC
rnacentral:rRNA from 1 species